rnacentral:tRNA from 1 species
GCAGUGGUGGUUCGGUGGUAGAAUUGUUGCCUUGCAUGUAGAAGACCCAGGUUCAAUUUCUGGCCAAUGCG